rnacentral:rRNA from 1 species
AACGAUCGAAUCGUCACGAAAACUAGUGCGCUGGAGGGUGGCAGAGGCAACUGGAAUUCCACAUGUAGGGGUAAAAUCCGUUGAUAUGUGGAGGAACACCAAAAGCGAAGGCAGGUUGCUGGGCCAUUUCUGACGCUGAGGAACGAAAGCGUGGGGAGCAAACAGGAUUAGAUACCCUGGUAGUCCACGCCGUAAACUAUGAAUACUCGAUGUAGGAAGGAAUCGACCCCUUCCUGUGUCCAAGCAAACGCGUUAAGUAUUCCGCCUGGGGAGUACGGUCGCAAGAUUAAAACUCAAAGGAAUAGACGGGGACCCACACAAGCGGUGGAGCAUGUGGUUCAAUUCGACAAUAAACGGGGAACCUUACCAAGGCUUGACAUCUCCGGAAUCCCGAGGAAACUUGGGAGUGCCGUAAGGAACUGGAUGACAGGUGCUGCAUGGUCGUCGUCAGCUCGUGCCUUGAGGUGUUCGGUUAAGUCCGUAAACGAGCGCAACCCAUGUCUUAUGUUGCAAUAUUUCAUAGGAGACUGCCGGCUCUAAGUCGGAGGAAGGUAUGGAUGACGUCAGAUCAGCAUGGCCCUUAUGCCUUGGGCCACACACGUGCUACAAUGGCCGGUACAAUGAGUAGCCAACCCGCGAGGGGGAGCCAAUCUCAACAAAGCCGGUCCCAAUUCGGAUUGGGGGCUGCAAUUCGCCCCCAUGAAGCCGGAAUCGCUAGUAACCGCAAAUCAGACAUGUUGCGGUGAAUAUGUUCCUGGGUCUUGUACUCACCGCCCGUCACAUCAUGAAAGAUGGGAGUGCCCGAAGUCGCCUUACCCC